rnacentral:rRNA from 1 species
UUCGCAAUGCCCGAAAGGGUGACGAAGCGACGCCGCGUGAGCGAAGAAGGCCCUAGGGUUGUAAAGCUCUGUCGGGGGUUAUGGAAUGUAGAUCGGUUAAUACCCGGUUUAUUUGACAAAGGCCCCAAAGGAAGCCACGGCUAACUCUGUGCAGCAGCCGCGGUAAUACAGAGGUGGCAAGCGUUGUUCGGUAUUAUUGGGCGUAAAGAGCACGUAGGUGGUUUUGUAAGUCAGAUGUGAAAGCCUUCUGUUCAAAGGAAGAACGGCAUCUGAAACUGCGAAUCUUGAGUGUAGGAGGGGAGAGUGGAACUUCUGGUGGAGCGGUGAAAUGCGUAGAUAUCAGAAGGAACGUCGGCGGCGAAAGCGACUCUCUGGCCUAUUACUGACACUGAGUGUGCGAAAGUUAGGGGAGCAAACGGGAUUAGAUACCCCGGUAGUCCUAACUGUAAACGAUGGGCACUAAGUAGAGGGGUUUU